UAGUCCACGCUGUAAACGAUGUCGAUUUGGAGGUUGUGCCCUUGAGGCGUGGCUUCCGGAGCUAACGCGUUAAAUCGACCGCCUGGGGAGUACGGCCGCAAGGUUAAAACUCAAAUGAAUUGACGGGGGCCCGCACAAGCGGUGGAGCAUGUGGUUUAAUUCGAUGCAACGCGAAGAACCUUACCUACUCUUGACAUCCAGAGAACUUAGCAGAGAUGCUUUGGUGCCUUCGGGAACUCUGAGACAGGUGCUGCAUGGCUGUCGUCAGCUCGUGUUGUGAAAUGUUGGGUUAAGUCCCGCAACGAGCGCAACCCUUAUCCUUUGUUGCCAGCGGUUCGGCCGGGAACUCAAAGGAGACUGCCAGUGAUAAACUGGAGGAAGGUGGGGAUGACGUCAAGUCAUCAUGGCCCUUACGAGUAGGGCUACACACGUGCUACAAUGGCAUAUACAAAGAGAAGCGACCUCGCGAGAGCAAGCGGACCUCAUAAAGUAUGUCGUAGUCCGGAUUGGAGUCUGCAACUCGACUCCAUGAAGUCGGAAUCGCUAGUAAUCGUAGAUCAGAAUGCUACGGUGAAUACGUUCCCGGGCCUUGUACACACCGCCCGUCACACCAUGGGGAGUGGGUUGCAAAAGAAGUAGGUAGCUUAACCUUCGGGAGGGCGCUUACCACUUUGUGAUUCAUGACUGGGG
rnacentral:rRNA from 1 species